GCAUAUCAAUAAGCGGAGGAAAAGAAACCAACAGGGAUUGCCCUAGUAACGGCGAGUGAAGCGGCAACAGCUCAAAUUUGAAAUCUGGCUCUCUUCGGGGGUCCGAGUUGUAAUUUGCAGAGGAUGCUUUGGCAUUGGCGGCGUUCUAAGUUCCUUGGAACAGGACAUCACAGAGGGUGAGAAUCCCGUACGUGGUCGCCUGCCUUUGCCGUGUAAAGCUCCUUCGACGAGUCGAGUUGUUUGGGAAUGCAGCUCUAAAUGGGAGGUAAAUUUCUUCUAAAGCUAAAUACCGGCCAGAGACCGAUAGCGCACAAGUAGAGUGAUCGAAAGAUGAAAAGUACUUUGGAAAGAGAGUCAAAAAGCACGUGAAAUUGUUGAAAGGGAAGCGCUUGCAGCCAGACUUGCCCGCAGUUGCUCACCUAGGCUUUGGCCUGGGGCACUCUUCUGUGGGCAGGCCAGCAUCAGUUUGGGCGGUUGGAUAAAGGCCUCUGUCACGUAUCUCCCUUCGGGGUGACCUUAUAGGGGAGGCGUAAUGCAACCAGCCCGGACUGAGGUCCGCGCAUCUGCUAGGAUGCUGGCGUAAUGGCUGUAAGCGGCCCGUCUUGAAACACGGACCAAGGAGUCUAACAUCUAUGCGAGUGUUUGGGUGUCAAGCCCGGGCGCGCAAUGAAAGUGAACGGAGGUGGGAACCCUUUGGGUGCACCAUCGACCGAUCCUGAUGUCUUCGGAUGGAUUUGAGUAAGAGCAUAGCUGUUGGGACCCGAAAGAUGGUGAACUAUGCUUGAAUAGGGUGAAGCCAGAGGAAACUCUGGUGGAGGCUCGCAGCGGUUCUGACGUGCAAAUCGAUCGUCAAAUUUGGGCAUAGGGGCGAAAGACUAAUCGAACCAUCUAGUAGCUGGUUCCUGCCG
rnacentral:rRNA from 1 species